rnacentral:rRNA from 1 species
GACGUGGGGUGCAAGCGUUAUCCGGAAUUAUUGGGCGUAAAGAGCUCGUAGGCGGUUUGUCGCGUCUGCCGUGAAAGUCCGGGGCUCAACUCCGGAUCUGCGGUGGGUACGGGCAGACUAGAGUGAUGUAGGGGAGACUGGAAUUCCUGGUGUAGCGGUGAAAUGCGCAGAUAUCAGGAGGAACACCGAUGGCGAAGGCAGGUCUCUGGGCAUUAACUGACGCUGAGGAGCGAAAGCAUGGGGAGCGAACAGG